UCCAAAUAUUCACUUGCAGAUUCCACUAAAAGAGUGUUUCAAAACUGCUCUAUCAUAAGGUAUGUUCAACUCUGUGAGUUGAAUGCAAACAUCAGAAAGAAGUUUCUGAGAAUACUUCUGUCUAGUUUUUAUGUGAACAUAUUUCCUUUUCCACCAUAGGCCUCAAAGUGCUCCAAAAGUUCACUUACGGAUUCUACAAAAACA
rnacentral:lncRNA from 1 species